GGACCCGCACAAGUAGUGGAGCAUGUGGUUUAAUUCGAAGAUACGCGCAGAACCUUACCAACACUUGACAUGUUCGUCGCGACUUUAAGAGAUUAAAGUUUUCGGUUCGGCCGGACGAAACACAGGUGCUGCAUGGCUGUCGUCAGCUCGUGUCGUGAGAUGUUGGGUUAAGUCCCGCAACGAGCGCAACCCUCACUUUUAGUUGCCAUCAUUUAGUUGGGCACUCUGAAAGAACUGCCAGUGAUAAGCUGGAGGAAGGUGGGGAUGACGUCAAGUCCUCAUGGCCCCUUACGUGUUGGGCUACACACGUGCUACAAUGGUAUCUACAAAAGGAUGCAAGAUGGCGACAUU
rnacentral:rRNA from 1 species